rnacentral:tRNA from 1 species
CAAAAUGUAGCUUAACUAAAGCACUUCGCUUACACCGAAACUACAUCCGCGGAAACCGGAUCACUUUGA